UCAUAUGGUAUUAGUACCCUGAAAGCACCUGAUCUUGACCACUCUCAGAAGGUAAGUAGGGUCCAGCCUGGUUAGUACUUGAAUGGGAGAAACACAUGCGCUAUAUUAU
rnacentral:rRNA from 1 species